rnacentral:snRNA from 1 species
AUACUUACCUGGCAGGGGUGACUCCAUGAUCAAGCCAUUGCACUCCGGCACUCUGACCUCUAUGAAUUCUCCACAUGUGAGAAUCGCAACUGCACAAUUUCUGCUCGUGGGGACUGCGUUCGCGCUCUCCCCUU